GCAUAUCAAUAAGCGGAGGAAAAGAAACCAACAGGGAUUGCCCUAGUAACGGCGAGUGAAGCGGCAACAGCUCAAAUUUGAAAUCUGGCUCUUUCAGAGUCCGAGUUGUAAUUUGCAGAGGGCGCUUUGGCGUUGGCAGCGGUCCAAGUUCUUUGGAACAGGACGUCACAGAGGGUGAGAAUCCCGUACGUGGUCGCUAGCCAUCACCGUGUAAAGCCCCUUCGACGAGUCGAGUUGUUUGGGAAUGCAGCUCUAAAUGGGAGGUAAAUUUCUUCUAAAGCUAAAUACUGGCCAGAGACCGAUAGCGCACAAGUAGAGUGAUCGAAAGAUGAAAAGCACUUUGGAAAGAGAGUCAAAUAGCACGUGAAAUUGUUGAAAGGGAAGCGCUUGCAGCCAGACUUGCCUGUAGUUGCUUACCUAGACUUUUGUCUGGGGCACUCUUCUGCAGGCAGGCCAGCAUCAGUUUGGGCGGUUGGAUAAAGGUCUCUGUCACGUACCUCCCUUCGGGGAGGCCUUAUAGGGGAGACGUAAUGCAACCAGCCUGGACUGAGGUCCGCGCAUCUGCUAGGAUGCUGGCGUAAUGGCUGUAAGCGGCCCGUCUUGAAACACGGACCAAGGAGUCUAACAUCUAUGCGAGUGUUUGGGUGUCAAGCCCAUACGCGUAAUGAAAGUGAACGGAGGUGGGAACCUUAGGGUGCACCAUCGACCGAUCCUGAUGUCUUCGGAUGGAUUUGAGUAAGAGCAUGGCUGUUGGGACCCGAAAGAUGGUGAACUAUGCUUGAAUAGGGUGAAGCCAGAGGAAACUCUGGUGGAGGCUCGCAGCGGUUCUGACGUGCAAAUCGAUCGUCAAAUUUGGGCAUAGGGGCGAAAGACUAAUCGAACUAUCUAGUAGCUGGUUCCUGCCGAA
rnacentral:rRNA from 1 species